GUUUUCGAUACAGCGGGCUACCCGUGGUGUAAAAUGUGUUUAUUUUAAACUGUAUAAUAUGUUCAACGUUCAACUCCCCGCGGGUAGCCUUUUCGCCACCCUACUGAGCAGUUUUCGUUUUUCGUCCAAGUGACUCUCGACCGUUAUCACCAUGUCCGUUUUCCGCCAAAGGUUAUACUCAGAUUUUCGUCAAAAAAAUGAAUAUACUAUUUUAGAUAUUUUUCGAGAACCCCUAUUUACACCGUAUUAGUAUUAGCCAUUGUUAUUAUUACCUAUUUCAUCACGGCCCUGGAAAUCGUUAAUGCGGAAGCUGGUGAAAGCUUCAUUAGUCAAUCGAUACCACGACCGCGUUAGUGAAACUGUACCGACAUUUAUCGGUUUUCAUUUUUUAAUUGAUUAUUUGACUGCGUUAAUUGUGUUUUUUUAUAAUGUCUGAAAUGACAACGAGUACUUGUGGGGGCAAUCAUUGUGCUAAUUUACAAAAAUACAAAUAAGAAACCAUUCGCAUACAUCUCGAUAUUGUGGCAUUACGCGAUGGAGGGCCGGAGGGUUUCACAAGCCUCUGGCGGAAAUGGACGCAUAGUGAUAAUGGUUGAAGUUCAUUUUGACGAGAAACGGUUGCACUGUGCAUACUAUCUUAGGAAAAAAAAAAAAAAAUUAAAAUACAAAAAUAAGAUAACUCGUUGAAAUUAUCACGUUAUUUUCCUAGCACCUAUUGUCACAAUAUUAAGUAUGUUUAUUCUGUACGUACGCAUUUCUGGAAACGGCUACCUGACUAUACGUUGUUAUGAAAAUAAUAAUUCAUAUAAUUAUACACGAUUCCCUCCCUCGUUUACGCGUUAUGUUUUCGAGUUUAACAGUGAAAUGAGAAUAAUAAUAUUUUGUUCGCGAAAUUUCGUACGCGGAAUCCGUUUUCCAGGAGACUUUUGAAUAAUAUUUAAAAAUAAUUGGUCUUUGUAAGCGUAAUAUAACGAUGUUUACUCUGUUUGAAAAUUAUAACGAGUGCAAUAUAAUAUGGAUUACUUUACUCGUGGGAGAAGGGCGGCGCGAGCUACAAACUCAC